rnacentral:rRNA from 1 species
UACGUAGGGCGCAAGCGUUGUCCGGAAUUAUUGGGCGUAAAGAGCUCGUAGGUGGUUUGUCGCGUUGUUCGUGAAAACUCACUAGCUUAACUGUGGGCGUGCGGGCGAUACGGGCAGACUGGAGUACUGCAGGGGGAGACUGGAAUUCCUGGUGUAGCGGUGGAAUGCGCAGAUAUCAGGAGGAACACCGGUGGCGAAGGCGGGGUCUCUGG